ensembl:lncRNA
GUUUUAAUUUGUUUUAUUUUAUUAGAACUUAUGGGUAUUGUUCUUUAUCAUAAUAUACGCUUGUUGCUAUUGAUUAAAAUGUUUUUAUUCCUUAAAGUAUGAUUCAUUGUAUUCAGUUAUAACUUAUGAGCACUGUGCCUCUGUUGGGGUAUCGGUCGGGGUAUCACAUGUCUCACUCCGCACCAGUAGGUGGCAGCACCACAUCACCGCUGACACUGUUAGUUCCGGAAAGCAAAGCAUUGUGGGUGUUUAAUAGUAUAAAUUGCAACGUGUUCCCUCCGUUGGAACGUAGUCGACGGCGAUAGGUCUUAAGAGUAGGGCGCAGUUCGUAGCUCUGAAUAUUUAGUAAAUACUUCUUUUAGUUUGUUACUUUUCAUAUUCGAAAAGAUAACAGCUUGUUGGAUAACCCUAUCCUUAAUAUUUUUUAACACUUUUGACUCCGAGGAAGAUCUUUUUUGUUUUAAACGAAAGCCGCCAAGUCACCCUCGUCGCCAUUUUUUCCUCUACUGCAGUUUUUUGGUCGGAGAUGUGUGUAGAAGCAAUGGACACCAGCUCGAAGAAGUUGAGAAACAGCUGUCUGCGUAAAACCAUGAAACCAGGAUCGAAGCUGAGGUGGAUACGGCCCCGCGUCUUCGCGGAGGACGGUGAGGUGGACGAGGCCUUGAAGCAGUGUCGAGGCAGCGCGUUGAGGACCAUCCGGAAAUACCUUGGGCGGGCGCCGAGGCGGCCGCGGCUGGCUGAUCUGGCUGAACUCCUGGGAGGCAUCGGCGGGAAGGCCAAAAUGGAGUCCGCGCGCGAGGAAGGGCGCGUUGCGGCCUGCGCGCACCGCCAACCGUCGGGGGCAAUGGCGCCGGAAAACACCACGCAGUACCUGAUGGGACUGCGACGAGGACGGCUGCCUUGCCUUCCAACAGCGGGACUUUGAGGAAGCGUUUGAGCUGUAUUGGCAACCGGAAUGAACCGGUCUGCGUGGCCUUGCGUUACUGGUCUGGCCUCGCUUCCAGCUGUGACUUUACGAUAUGGGCAAAGAACAAGCGGCGCACUGGGUGGUGCCCGCACCCUCCCUCCAGUAGGGAGCGCUCCUGAGCACUUCAUGGCGCCGCCUCGAGGAACGAAUCAAACGCACCCUGUCCACGGAUUGUGAAAUCCAGGUAAAGCCGGGCAGGUAUUGUUGCACUGCAUUGUCGAUGACUGGCAACCGUAGUACACUGUGAUGCAUUGUGGGGGACAGCAUUGUGCUGUCCAGUUACUGUUGUCUGAGCGUUUUCCAGGUCAACCUGACGGGACACAUGGCUCUGCCGUGAGAGGAGCAGGAGACCGAGGAGGUUGGUCUUCACGUGAUUGACACAAGGUGACAUUCAAUGCCCAUUGGGUUGUCUAGACUGUUUCCAUGGAGAUGAGUUCGUGGGGGGGGGAUGUGGAAUUCCAGGCAAAGUACUGGAUUUUUUUUUUAAUUCAAUGGUUAAGGUGUGUGUAUAUAAUAUAGUUUAAGUGACACAUGUUCAAUAAAUGAUAUUUUUUAUGACAUCUGAUUGACUCGUCUGUCUGUUUUGCUCAAUGGUACAAUUUCAUGAAGAGAUCGAUUGGCCUUGUGGAAGGUCUGAUACUCAAAUGUUUUUAGUUGAAUCGUGAAUCAAGUUUGCCCACCGCUGGAAGUGGUCCCUGUGAGAAUUUCCAUUCCCAAUGUUAUCCAUGAAUCAUUGGCCCCCUUCUCGAAGGAAAGGUGAAAAAAAAUCAUUGUUGCCAAGUAGGGAUGGGGCCGAUCCAGUAUCGGUAUCAAUUUCUCUGGUAUCGGAAGAAAUUCGAUACAAAUAUAGAAAUUUCCGAUACAACCUUUGGAGUUUCCCGAUAUCAAUGAGCCAUGUCUGCGCUUUAACGUCGUCUGGUGAAAUGACUCCAAAAGGGAUCCCCGUCUGCUAGUCUGCUAGCUGGCUGCAAACUGGAAUGGAUUUCCUGAGCGUCUCAUAUAACUGUCUCGUUGAGCCGCGCCUCCGUUCAGGAA